GUCUGGUUGAUUCAGUUGAUUAGAGUGUUGUGCUAAUGACACGAAUGUCAUGGGUUUGAUCCCCAUACUGGCCC
rnacentral:tRNA from 1 species